rnacentral:tRNA from 1 species
GCGGGCGUGGCGGAAUUGGCAGACGCGCUAGCUUCAGGUGCUAGUUCUCGUAUGGGAGUGAAGGUUCAAGUCCUUUCGCCCGCACCA